GAAUCAUGGUUUUUACCUGCAUCAAUAAAGUGACAGAUAUCUUUUAGGACCUUUAUCUAAUUAUCCAAAUGAAAUUAGAAGAAUCGCUCAUGAAAGUUUUACAUGAUUAUUUGAUAGUUGAGUUAUAUGGCAACCUAUCUACAAAAUAUUAUUAUACACUAAUAUAAAUAGAUAUGUUAUAAAAUACAACAUUAUAUAAUUUCUGGCACCAACUGGAAUCACAUUUCCUAUUUGCAUCGGUAGGUCCACCUGUAUCAGUUGAUCCCCUUCCCCAGCUAGCACUUUGACCCCAUCCCU
rnacentral:misc_RNA from 1 species